ACGAACGCUGGCGGCAUGCCUAACACAUGCAAGUCGCACGAGACCUUCGGGUCUAGUGGCGCACGGGUGCGUAACGCGUGGGAACCUGCCCUUAGGUUCGGUAUAACUCCCCGAAAGGGGUGCUAAUACCGGAUAAUGUCUUCGGACCAAAGAUUUAUCGCCUUUGGAUGGGCCCGCGUUGGAUUAGCUAGUUGGUAGGGUAAAAGCCUACCAAGGCGACGAUCCAUAGCUGGUCUGAGAGGAUGAUCAGCCACACUGGGACUGAGACACGGCCCAGACUCCUACGGGAGGCAGCAGUGGGGAAUAUUGGACAAUGGGCGAAAGCCUGAUCCAGCAAUGCCGCGUGAGUGAUGAAGGCCUUAGGGUUGUAAAGCUCUUUUACCCGGGAUGAUAAUGACAGUACCGGGAGAAUAAGCUCCGGCUAACUCCGUG
rnacentral:rRNA from 1 species